AGAGAGAGACAUGCGCGCAUAUCAAUAAGCGGAGGAAAAGAAACUAACAAGGAUUCCCUUAGUAACGGCGAGUGAAGCGGGAAGAGCUCAAAUUUGAAAUCUUCAAGGUUCUACCUUGACGAAUUGUAGUUUAUAGAAGUGUUUUCUGUUAGUGGAGUUUGGCAUAAGUUCUUUGGAAUAGGACAUCAUAGAGGGUGAGGAUCCCGUAUUUGGUCAUUCCUCCUAGCGUUGUGAUACACUUUCAACGAGUCGGAUUGUUUGGGAAUGCAGUCCAAAAUGGGUGGUAAAUUUCAUCUAAAGCUAAAUAUUGGCGAGAGACCGAUAGCGAACAAGUACCGUGAGGGAAAGAUGAAAAGAACUUUGAAAAGAGAGUUAAACAGUACGUGAAAUUGUCAAAAGGGAAGCGUUUGACACCAGUGUUGUUUUUCCGAAAAUCAAUUACGAAUGUUUUGUUUUUGAGGAGUUAUGACUUCAUCGGCUUGCUCCUUUCUUUAUGAAACUUUCUUAAUGCACUUUUCGGUUAACAAGUCAACAUCAAUUUCUUUUGUUGUAAAAGGGUAUGAGGAAGGUGGCUUUCUUUUCGGAGAAAGUGUUUAUAGCCUUCGGCCUCUGCAAUCGGAGAGAUUGAGGUCUGCAGCGUAGAUCCUUCGGGGUUAGAUACAUUUGUGCUAAGCUAUAGCCUUUCAUAGACAACUUGUUGACUAUGAUCAGUCAUGUAGCUUACUCGCUUAUGCUAUUUUACCUACGCUUAGGAUGUUGAUAGUCACAGCGUGUAC
rnacentral:rRNA from 1 species